rnacentral:rRNA from 1 species
AAUGAACGUUGGCGGCGUGGAUUAGGCAUGCGAGUCGUGCGAGAACCGUAGCAAUACGGGGACAGCGGCGAAAGGGAGAGGAACACGUGGAUACCUACCCUCAGGUUCAGGAUAGCUAUGGGAAACUAUAGGUAAUACUGAAUGAUAUCUCCGGAUCAAAGGUGUGAUUCCGCCGGAGGAGGGUUCCGCGUCCUAUUAGCAAGUUGGUGGGGUAAUGGCUCACCAAGGCGAAGAUGGGUACGGGAUGUGAGAGCAUGAUCCCGCUCAUUGGGACUGAGACACUGCCCAGACACCUACGGGUGGCUGCAGUCGAGAAUCUUCGGCAAUGGGGGAAACCCUGACCGAGCGACGCCGCGUGUGAGAUGAAGGCCUUCGGGUUGUAAAUCACUGUCGUAGAGGAGGAAGUGUAGGUGGGUUCUCCCAUCUAUUUGACCUAUUCUAGGAGGAAGGACGGGCUAAGUUCGUGCCAGCCGCCGCCGUAAAAC